CUGGUUGUCCUUGAUGGGCUGCAGCUGUGAGCAUUGAAGAGAACUGGGAUAAAAGGGGGCGGCGUAGCCAUUCAGGGAGAGCCUUGAAGGAGCCCUGAACUGGGAAAGAACAGCAUGCAGAAGAAAGCAUCUGUGCUGUGAAGAUCUGCAGCCAUAAGAACACACCGAGGAGGUCCUGGUUGUCCUUGAUGGGCUGCAGCUGUGAGCAUUGAAGAGAACUGGGAUAAAAGGGGGCGGCGUAGCCAUUCAGGGAGAGCCUUGAAGGAGCCCUGAACUGGGAAAGAACAGCAUGCAGAAGAAAGCAUCUGUGCUGUGAAGAUCUGCAGCCAUAAGAACACACCGAGGAGGUCCUGGUUGUCCUUGAUGGGCUGCAGCUGUGAGCAUUGAAGAGAACUGGGAUAAAAGGGGGCGGCGUAGCCAUUCAGGGAGAGCCUUGAAGGAGCCCUGAACUGGGAAAGAACA